CCGCGGUAACACGUAGGAGGCGAGCGUUAUUCGGAUUUACUGGGCGUAAAGCGCGUGUAGGCGGCUGAUCAAGUUGGAUGUGAAAGCUCCCGGCUUAACUGGGAGAGGACGUUCAAAACUGAACAGCUUGAGUAUGAGAGAGGAAAAUGGAAUUCCGGGUGUAGUGGUGAAAUGCGUAGAUAUCCGGAGGAACACCAGUGGCGAAGGCGAUUUUCUGGCUCAAGACUGACGCUCAGACGCGAAAGCUAGGGUAGCAAACGG
rnacentral:rRNA from 1 species